rnacentral:tRNA from 1 species
GCGGGCGUGGUGGAAUUGGUAGACACGCAAGAUUUAGGAUCUUGUGGGCUUGGCCCGUGGGGGUUCAAGUCCCUCCGCCCGCACCA